GUCGUGCCCUCUCUUUCUGACCACGGCCUCCAUAGAAGUUUGUGGGUGUUUGGAGAGUCAUUUUUGCUACCACUGUCGUUAUCCUUUUUCCCCUGGCGACUGUUAAACCUUUCUUUUUAGAGUGCUGCUGAAAGGCGUGAGAGAAGUGUCCCAGUAUGAGAGCUACUAAAAGAGAGGCACCGACCGAUGGUGGCUACCCACCCUCGAGAAAUUCCCAUCUCUGUAUGGAGCCCCAGGAUGUAAACACGUAAACGACUAUUCAAGGCCAGGUUCCCUGAGAGCCUCAACUGGAGUUCCUCUCCCUGGGGAAGUGAUGAUAAUGACUUUUUCUUUGGCAAAUCCCUUUCUAUCCUUAUCUCCUUGCAGGAUUGUACAACCCUUCUGUCCAGUGGCCCUGGGAACUUCUAGGACUUCCUGAGCCUGUUUUUGCCUAUUUAUUGUGCUGUUUCCUCUGGAAGCUGCUUCAACACUUAAUCUGGUGAAUGCUGGGGUCAAAGGAAGUGCGUAGACUUGACCCAGGCUCUGCAUCCCUCCUCUAGUGCCCCACGCUCUCUCUGGAUCCUAGUCAUACCAGCCAUCUCCAGGCCCUCCAGGAUCCUUUGCUUCUGCCCUCCUCAUAAGGAUAGAGUAAAGGGGCAAAGUAGGUGAUUAAAUAGUUAAUCCCACUAGGGUAUUGUAAGUAGAAAAAAAAAAUAACUUACAGGUUAUUGAUUUACAUUAAUGGUUAGUAAAUUAAUGGUUACUCAGGAAAGCAGGUUUGCUUAACUACAAAACCAGGCAGGCCUGCUUAGCAACAAAACCAUACAACAGAAACAUGAGACAUGACCCCAAACAAUAAAACAGUGGUGGCUUAAGACCCA
ensembl:lncRNA